GACGAACGCUGGCGGCGUGCCUAAUACAUGCAAGUCGAACGCUGAAGGAGGAGCUUGCUUCUCCGGAUGAGUUGCGCACGGGUGUGUAACGCGUAGGUAACCUGCCUGGUAGUGGGGUAUAACUAUUGGAAACGAUAGCUAAUCCCGCAUAACCGACGAUGUUGCAUGACAUUUGCUUAAACGGUGCAAUUGCAUCACUACCACAUGGCCCUGCGUUGUAUUAGCUAGUUGGUGAGGUAACGGCUCACCAAGGCGACGAUACAUAGCCGCCCUGAGAGGGUGAGUGGCCACACUGGGACGGAGACAGGGCCCAGGCGCCCACAGGAGGCAGCAGUACGGAAACGGGGGGAAGGGGUAGAAGUUAGACCGAGCAACGCCGCGGGAGUGAAGAAGGUUGUCGGGUCGGAAAGCUCGGUUGUAAGGGAAGAACGAGUGUGAGAGUGGAAAGUUCACACAGUGACGGUAUCUGACCAGAAAGCAACGGCUAACUACGUG
rnacentral:rRNA from 1 species